rnacentral:rRNA from 1 species
CCUACGGGAGGCAGCAGUGGGGAAUUUUGGACAAUGGGCGCAAGCCUGAUCCAGCAAUGCCGCGUGCAGGAUGAAGGCCUUCGGGUUGUAAACUGCUUUUGUACGGAACGAAACGGCUCUUUCUAAUAAAGAGAGCUAAUGACGGUACCGUAAGAAUAAGCACCGGCUAACUACGUGCCAGCAGCCGCGGUAAUACGUAGGGUGCGAGCGUUAAUCGGAAUUACUGGGCGUAAAGCGUGCGCAGGCGGUUAUAUAAGACAGAUGUGAAAUCCCCGGGCUCAACCUGGGACCUGCAUUUGUGACUGUAUAGCUAGAGUACGGUAGAGGGGGAUGGAAUUCCGCGUGUAGCAGUGAAAUGCGUAGAUAUGCGGAGGAACACCGAUGGCGAAGGCAAUCCCCUGGACCUGUACUGACGCUCAUGCACGAAAGCGUGGGGAGCAAACAGGAUUAGAUACCCUGGUAGUCCACGCCCUAAACGAUGUCAACUGGUUGUUGGGUCUUCACUGACUCAGUAACGAAGCUAACGCGUGAAGUUGACCGCCUGGGGGAGGACGGCCGCGAGUAGUAACGUACGAAGAAAGUUAGUACGGCGUGAGACGUAGCCGAACGGACGACGACCGAGGGGAGGGAGGGAG